rnacentral:rRNA from 1 species
GACAGAGGGGCAAGCGUUGUUCGGAAUUACUGGGCGUAAAGGGCGCGUAGGCGGCCUUCUAAGUCGAACGUGAAAUCCCCGGGCUCAACCCGGGAACUGCGUCCGAUACUGGAAGGCUUGAAUCCGGGAGAGGGAUGCGGAAUUCCAGGUGUAGCGGUGAAAUGCGUAGAUAUCUGGAGGAACACCGGUGGCGAAGGCGGCAUCCUGGACCGGCAUUGACGCUGAGGCGCGAAAGCCAGGGGAGCAAACGGG